rnacentral:rRNA from 1 species
ACCAAGUUUAAGGUGGUAGGCUGAAAUCUUAGGUAAAUCCGGGGUUUCAAGGCCGAGAGCUGAUGACGAGUCGUCUUUUAGAUGACGAAGUGGUUGAUGCCAUGCUUCCAAGAAAAGCUUCUAAGCUUCAGGUAACCAGGAACCGUACCCCAAACCGACACAGGUGGUCGGGUAGAGAAUACCAAGGCGCUUGAGAGAACUCGGGUGAAGGAACUAGGCAAAAUGGCACCGUAACUUCGGGAGAAGGUGCGCCGGCUAGGGUGAAGGAUUUACUCCGUAAGCUCUGGCUGGUCGAAGAUACCAGGCCGCUGCGACUGUUUAUUAAAAACACAGCACUCUGCAAACACGAAAGUGGACGUAUAGGGUGUGACGCCUGCCCGGUGCCGGAAGGUUAAUUGAUGGGGUUAGCGCAAGCGAAGCUCUUGAUCGAAGCCCCGGUAAACGGCGGCCGUAACUAUAACGGUCCUAAGGUAGCGAAAUUCCUUGUCGGGUAAGUUCCGACCUGCACGAAUGGCGUAACGAUGGCGGCGCUGUCUCCACCCGAGACUCAGUGAAAUUGAAAUCGCUGUGAAGAUGCAGUGUAUCCGCGGCUAGACGGAAAGACCCCGUGAACCUUUACUGUAGCUUUGCACUGGACUUUGAGCCUGCUUGUGUAGGAUAGGUGGGAGGCUUUGAAGCGUGGACGCCAGUUCGCGUGGAGCCAUCCUUGAAAUACCACCCUGGCAUGCUUGAGGUUCUAACUCUGGUCCGUAAUCCGGAUCGAGGACAGUGUAUGGUGGGCAGUUUGACUGGGGCGGUCUCCUCCUAAAGAGUAACGGAGGAGUACGAAGGUGCGCUCAGACCGGUCGGAAAUCGGUCGCAGAGUAUAAAGGCAAAAGCGCGCUUGACUGCGAGACAGACACGUCGAGCAGGUGCGAAAGUAGGUCUUAGUGAUCCGGUGGUUCUGUAUGGAAGGGCCAUCGCUCAACGGAUAAAAGGUACUCCGGGGAUAACAGGCUGAUACCGCCCAAGAGUUCAUAUCGACGGCGGUGUUUGGCACCUCGAUGUCGGCUCAUCACAUCCUGGGGCUGAAGCCGGUCCCAAGGGUAUGGCUGUUCGCCAUUUAAAGUGGUACGCGAGCUGGGUUUAGAACGUCGUGAGACAGUUCGGUCCCUAUCUGCCGUGGACGUUUGAGAUUUGAGAGGGGCUGCUCCUAGUACGAGAGGACCGGAGUGGGCGAACCUCUGGUGUUCCGGUUGUCACGCCAGUGGCAUUGCCGGGUAGCUAUGUUCGGAAAAGAUAACCGCUGAAAGCAUCUAAGCGGGAAACUUGCCUCAAGAUGAGAUCUCACUGGGAACUUGAUUCCCCUGAAGGGCCGUCGAAGACUACGACGUUGAUAGGCUGGGUGUGUAAGCGUUGUGAGGCGUUGAGCUAACCAGUACUAAUUGCCC